AGAACGAACGCUGGCGGCAUGCCUAACACAUGCAAGUCGAACGAGACCUUCGGGUCUAGUGGCGCACGGGUGCGUAACGCGUGGGAAUCUGCCCUUGGGUUCGGGAUAACAGUUGGAAACGACUGCUAAUACCGGAUGAUGUCUUCGGACCAAAGAUUUAUCGCCCAAGGAUGAGCCCGCGUAGGAUUAGCUAGUUGGUGAGGUAAGAGCUCACCAAGGCGACGAUCCUUAGCUGGUCUGAGAGGAUGAUCAGCCACACUGGGACUGAGACACGGCCCAGACUCCUACGGGAGGCAGCAGUGGGGAAUAUUGGACAAUGGGCGAAAGCCUGAUCCAGCAAUGCCGCGUGAGUGAUGAAGGCCUUAGGUUGUAAAGCUCUUUUACCCGGGAUGAUAAUGACAGUACCGGAGAAUAAGCCCGGCUAACUCCGCGCCAGCAGCCGC
rnacentral:rRNA from 1 species